rnacentral:rRNA from 1 species
UACGGGGGGGAGCAAGCGUUGUUCGGAUUUACUGGGCGUAAAGGGCGCGUAGGCGGUCAGCACAAGUCAGUUGUGAAAUCUCCGGGCUUAACUCGGAAAGGUCAACUGAUACUGUGCGACUAGAGUGCAGAAGGGGCAACUGGAAUUCUCGGUGUAGCGGUGAAAUGCGUAGAUAUCGAGAGGAACACCUGCGGCGAAGGCGGGUUGCUGGGCUGACACUGACGCUCAUGCACGAAAGCGUGGGGAGCAAACAGG